GAGGAAUCCAACCGGUAAAGACAGACUUGCUCUUGGAAAUCCUGAAUUCUACAAUGAGGGAACCCUCUUGAAGACUGGACUAGCCCUUCAGAACCAACGGAAGUUCAAGAGUCAAAGAGAGCUGUCUCAUAAGAUCCAAAUGAGAGCAUGGCAGAAGAGCCACAAGGCUUCUUGUACCAGGUGGAAGACAAGAGCUCUGUCCAAAGGUCCUGGCUUUGGAGUCUCAGUAUUUACCACUGGGCCUUCUUCCCUGGUCGAAAGAAUCCACAAAUGUUGGCUGAAAUUGAAGUCUGUGAAAUUACAAUGGCCAAUAUUGGCCUGAAGACACAGGAGAAGACACAGAAGAAACCUCUAUCUUCUUUACAGGCUUAGCUAACUCUGCAGUGCACUGCACAUCAUAUUGGGUUCAUGGGUU